rnacentral:rRNA from 1 species
AUUGAACGCUGGCGGCAGGCCUAACACAUGCAAGUCGAGCGGAUGAAGGGAGCUUGCUCCUGGAUUCAGCGACGGACGGGUGAGUAAUGCCUAGGAAUCUGCCUGGUAGUGGGGGACAACGUCCGGAAACGGGCGCUAAUACCGCAUACGUCCUGAGGGAGAAAGUGGGGGAUCUUCGGACCUCACGCUAUCAGAUGAGCCUAGGUCGGAUUAGCUAGUUGGUGGGGUAAAGGCCUACCAAGGCGACGAUCCGUAACUGGUCUGAGAGGAUGAUCAGUCACACUGGAACUGAGACACGGUCCAGACUCCUACGGGAGGCAGCAGUGGGGAAUAUUGGACAAUGGGCGAAAGCCUGAUCCAGCCAUGCCGCGUGUGUGAAGAAGGUCUUCGGAUUGUAAAGCACUUUAAGUUGGGAGGAAGGGCAGUAAGUUAAUACCUUGCUGUUUUGACGUUACCAACAGAAUAAGCACCGGCUAACUUCGUG